GACGAACGCUGGCGGCGUGCUUAACACAUGCAAGUCGAACGGAAAGGCCCUGCUUUUGUGGGGUGCUCGAGUGGCGAACGGGUGAGUAACACGUGAGUAACCUGCCCUUGACUUUGGGAUAACUUCAGGAAACUGGGGCUAAUACCGGAUAGGAGCUCCUGCUGCAUGGUGGGGGUUGGAAAGUUUCGGCGGUUGGGGAUGGACUCGCGGCUUAUCAGCUUGUUGGUGGGGUAGUGGCUUACCAAGGCUUUGACGGGUAGCCGGCCUGAGAGGGUGACCGGCCACAUUGGGACUGAGAUACGGCCCAGACUCCUACGGGAGGCAGCAGUGGGGAAUAUUGCACAAUAGGCGGAAGCCUGAUGCAGCAACGCCGCGUGCGGGAUAACGGCCUUCGGGUUGUAAACCGCUUUCGCCUGUGACGAAGCGUGAGUGACGGUAAUGGGUAAAGAAGCACCGGCUAACUACGUG
rnacentral:rRNA from 1 species